rnacentral:piRNA from 1 species
AAUUAGAAGUCGUCAUGGCAAGA